GAUUCCUAACAAAAUUUGUAAUUGCAAAUUGUUCGAUUUCUGUAACUCUACAGUGUCAACCAGGUCAGUUCGGAUAUUCGCGUCCGCGGUUUUCUUCCAUAUAUAUACAUACACUAAAGACGCAGAAUAAUGCGCGAUUCACUUCCCAUUUAAAGCGGACUCUACGAAUUAUAAAUUCAAUAUCGAGCUUUAAAUAGCAUGGACACGCCACGCCGUAUAUAUAGAACACGAAAUAAUUGCGACUUCUCUCUUCACCUACAGACGCCCCGGAGUGAGAUUACAACAUUAAUCGACUUCACUCAAUCGUUUCGCACUCUGUCGUCAUGUAAAAUAUCAUGUUGGUCUCUAUCGAACCGAUAUUAACUUCAUUGGAGCAGAAGUUCGGCGACCCUUGACACCGGUUUAGAAGACAACAUUCGACAAUCGGCGACUUUUGGGGGCAAUCCAGAGAGAGGAGAGGAGAGUAACGCAAAACAGGAUGAACUUGUCUUCGAUUGACCAACCACGCGAUGAAAGUCUCCAGACAUUCUAUUGCACCCCGAACCGUCUUUAUAAGUGCCGCUCUGUGAUAGAGCUGCAUUGGAUACCUCGAUCUCCGACGGUGCAACACGUCUUUGAUACAAAAUACCAAGUUCCGAUCGUGAACGUGGCACUGUUGGGGUGAUUUCAAAUUGUGGUUCAUCAUCGGUUUCGCGACUCGAGAACAAUGUGGAAGUGGUGGCAGCUCUACUACAUCUUGCAAAUAUUCGUAUUGGCAUCGGAAAGGAAAUCCGCCCUCGAUACGCCUUCUAAUAUAAUGUUACUUCGUGCCUUCCGAGAAUGGACUUUCGAUACUUUUGGUUGGACAGGAACGGAAGAAAAGUAUCUGCAAAUAGCUCGAAAAGCAAAUAAAACGCAAAAAAUCGUUCCCGAUGAUGUUCCAUUCCCUUGCAAUGUGACAGGUGGUCGAUCGCCAAAAGUGCCAACGUCAGUACACAAAUUAAGACCAGGUGAUAUCGAUGUCAUUGCCGCGAUGGGUGAUUCUCUUACAGCCGGAAAUGGCGUUUUUGCAGGCAAUGUGUUUCAGGUCCUUGUAGAGAACAGAGGAGUUACCGCGGCCGGCGGAGGCCAAGGAACGUGGAGAGAAUAUCUAACUCUUCCCAACAUCCUCAAGGAAUUCAACCCCAAUCUGAUGGGAUAUGCUUUGGGAGACUCUUUGACGACUCACAAAGCGGCACAAUUGAAUAUUGCCGAAUCCGGUGCUGAGUCCGCAGAUAUGACGUACAUGGCGGAGCUACUGGUCAGGAAGAUUAAAAAAGACCCGAGGAUAAAUCUGCAGAAACAUUGGAAGUUCAUCUCGUUGAUGAUCGGAGGCAAUGACUUUUGCACUGAAAUAUGUUGGACUGCCUCACCUUGGUCAACUCUUGAAACACACAAAGCCGACAUACUUCGAGUUCUACGAAUACUAAGAGAUAAUUUGCCGCGGACUUUUGUUGCACUGGUUCCGCCAAUUAAUUUAAAGACUUUAGUCGAUUCUCUUGAAGGAAGGCCAUCAUUAACUUGUUUUGUUACAACGGAUUUCGAGUGUUCAUGCUUGUUUGGUUCUUCAUUUCGGCGCUUUAGGGAUAUAUAUUACAACAUAAUGUCACAGUGGCAGAAGCUAGACAUGGAAAUCGCUUCUUAUCCAGAAUUCCAAAGAGAUGAUUUCACAGUCGUAGCACAGCCUACCCUAAUAAAUGCAACUAUACCACUUGCUCCAGAUGGAUACGCCGACAUGACAUAUUUGAGCAGUGAUUGUUUUCACGUUAGUCAAAAAACCAAUGCUCUUUAUGCAAACGGUUUAUGGAACAAUUUGUUAGAGCCAGUAGGUGCCAAAACGAUGACUUGGGAAAUUCCUUUCCACAAAUUUUACUGCCCAACGCCGAAGAGACCCUAUCUGACAACAAUGUUAAACUCACAGCAACAAAGGGUUAAUACUAAAACUGCCGCUGCAAUUCGAACAAGAAAUAUUGGCACUUGAUAAAAGAGAAAGUAUCGAUAAUGUUCGAUAGUUCAUCGAUCAUAGUUGCGUUGCCGCAAUGUUUGAACGGAGUCUGCGACUAAGAAUGUUAUGUAAAGACUACAACAAUAUUUGCAGAACGCAGAUUUGCAGAUUUUAUUUGUAAAUUUGUGACUAAACGCGUAAGCAAUAGUGUGAUCUUCUAUAUAAUCAACUUAUUUAAAUGACACUCUAAAUUAAUGGUUUUGCAUCUCUUAUACUCUGUUAGCAUGCAAAUAAGUGUGUAUGUGUCAAAAUCGUCUUUCGUUAGUAGAAUCAAUAUUAAACAUCCAUAUACAUUUACAUGCUGUAACAUACAAUUAUAUAAAUAAUUCUAAAGUUAUACAUUCAUUUUUUUAAACAUCUUAAAAUAUAAUCGUGUACAAAAUUUUAUUUAUAUACGUAAGUAAUAUGAAUUUUUCAGAUAAAUUGUGACUUAACAAUACAUUUAAAAAGUUGUUUUGCAAAUUAUAUAAACAAUACAGGGUAUCCCAAAAUUAGCGAAUCAAAGUACUGAGGCAAGAAUAUAUUAAAAAAAUUAAGCAAUAUAGUCAUGUGUAAAAAGUGUUAUUUCAAACAAUAGUUUUUUUUGAAAUGUAAAGCUUCAAAAGUAAGCAAUCAUAAACAACGUUUAGAUGUCGCACCGUGAGACGCACUUGCUUGGUAGAUUAAUCGCAUAACAGGUGACCGCCUAAACGUAUAACCACUGAUUGAUUAGCUUUAAGUCGUCUCAAAAACUGCUUGAAAUAAAAAUUUACUGUAAAUAAAUAUUUUAUUUAAUUUUUUAAGAACUUUGCUAUAAUGUCAUAAUUCGCGAAUUUUGAAACAUUUUACAUUUUUUCUUUGUUGUUAUUUCGAGAUAGCUGUCAGUCGUCAAAUUAUUUUACAUGUCUUCACUUUGCUAUUUCGAAAAAGAAUAGUAAAAUGGAUAAAUCAUGCUGCUAGUAACAGUAGUCGAGAUCUAUCUAUGAUCAGUCACAAUUUAUUCGGGUGAUAAUAUAAAAUUGAUGUAAUAAUACAAAACUAAUAGGAAAAUACAUCCGACAAAAUAA